rnacentral:pre_miRNA from 1 species
CGGUGGUGAUGAUAUUGAUGCUAAUGAUGAUGAUGAUGGUGAUCAUCAUCAUCAUCAUCAUCAUCAUCAUCAACAUCAUCAUUAUCACCA